rnacentral:rRNA from 1 species
UACGGAAGGCAGCAGUGGGGAAUAUUGCACAAUGGGCGAAAGCCUGAUGCAGCUAUGCCGCGUGUAUGAAGAAGGCCUUAGGGUUGUAAAGUACUUUCAUCGGGGAGGAAAAACAAAACUAAUAAUUUUAUUUCUUGACGUUACCCGAAAAAGAAGCACCGGCUAACUCCGUGCCAGCAGCCGCGGUAAUACGGAGGGUGCUAGCGUUAAUCAGAAUUACUGGGCGUAAAGAGCACGUAGGUGGUUUUUUUAAGUCAGAUGUGAAUCCCUGGGCUUAACCUAGGAACUGCAUUUUGAAACUGAAAUACUAGAGUAUCGUAGAGGGAGGUAGAAUUCUAGGUGUAGCGGUGAAAUGCGUAGAUAUCUGGAGGAAUACCUGUGGCGAAAGCGGCCUCCUAAACGAAUACUGACACUGAGGUGCGAAAGCGUGGGGAGCAAACAGGGAUUAGAUAAC